CCAUGUCUUCACCGACUUUUAUCUUGGGGGAAAAAAAAAAGAUAAAGUAACACCUAUUAUUAACAUAAUCACUCAGUCUUAGUCUUUUUCACAUACUUUCCUUUUCAAUAGAUUCCUAAGAUUUUUCACCACUGUAUUUUGACUGAUAAUUUAAUAUUUUUCUCCAUAUUACUGACUACUAGCUUUAAUUCAGUUGCGUACAUCAGCCUGUCCU
rnacentral:lncRNA from 1 species